GGCAAAGCAUAAUAGGAAUUGUAUUUCAACAUCUGUUGAUCUACAUUUUUGGCAAAACUGAUCUAAAAAAGUAUUGAUAAUACUUUAAACUUCCUUAGAGCUAUAUGGGUUACAAAUAUUGACACUAAAACCAUAAAAUAAAAAAAGCAUAUCACAAAGUCAACGUGGCCCAAAUUAGGUGGUGACAGAGAGGUGAGCAGGUUAUCACUAAUACAAAACAGUAAGUUACAAAGCGGACAAUCAGAAAUGCCAGUUAUCGACUCUAUUAAUC